CACGCCCAACCUGGCUCUUAUAAAUUUGGCUCCAGGAGUUCGGUACUGUCCAACAGUCAUCACAGGAGCUUUUCCCAGAGCCUAAACAGUGACUUGUGGUAUCUUCAGCUUUCAUCAGAAGAGACAUGGGCUUCUUCAAAUUAUCUGCUGUCUUCUUGCUCUCAUUCUUGCUGUGGGAGGUGCACAGUGACCGCAAGCCAAGUAAGUAGAACAGGACAUAUAUCGUUAAGUAGGUGAAUUUAAAAGUAAAAAGGUCGGAAAAUAAUAAGAAUAAUAUGCUGACAGGUCCACGCCUCAUUCAUUUUUCACAAAUGCAAUGUUUUGGACACAAGGGGAAAAAAAAUGUAUCUGCUGGGGUAUGACAAUGCCGACGGCCUUGCUGAAUAACCUCUCUGACAGGACUCUCGAGGCUGAACAAGACAUCAUUUUAUCUCCUUUUUACAGAUUUUAUUAAGCCCUUUGUAAUCUUCAAACGCUACAGCUGUCCCCUCAGAUUUGUAUUUUUUAAAGCCCUUUUUUUGGUGAAUGCCAUAGGAAAAAAAAAUUACGUUACACCUCACUGGGCAGACUAGAUGGGCCAAAUGGUUCUUAUCUGCCGGCACAUUCUAUGUUUCACUUCCCAUAAAACAUAAAAUCUAUCGAGAUGGUCGGAAUGGUAAGCUCCAUUCUA